GGGCCCGAGCUGUUGGUUAGAGCAAUCGACUCAUAAUCGAUUGGUGGGGGGUUAAAGUCCCUCCGGGCCCACC
rnacentral:tRNA from 1 species